AUUGAACGCUGGCGGCAGGCCUAACACAUGCAAGUCGAGCGGGAACUUCGGUUCUAGCGGCGGACGGGUGAGUAAUGCGUAGGAAGCUACCCGACAGAGGGGGAUACCAGUUGGAAACGACUGUUAAUACCGCAUAAUGUCUACGGACCAAAGUGUGGGACCUUCGGGCCACAUGCUGUCGGAUGCGCCUACGUGGGAUUAGCUAGUUGGUGAGGUAAUGGCUCACCAAGGCGACGAUCCCUAGCUGGUUUGAGAGGAUGAUCAGCCACACUGGAACUGAGACACGGUCCAGACUCCUACGGGAGGCAGCAGUGGGGAAUAUUGGACAAUGGGCGCAAGCCUGAUCCGGCCAUGCCGCGUGUGUGAAGAAGGCCUUCGGGUUGUAAAGCACUUUCAGUAGGGAGGAAGAGUUGAGUGUUAAUAGUACUCAGCUUUGACGUUACCUACAGAAGAAGCACCGGCUAACUCUGUGCCAGCAGCCGCGGUAACAC
rnacentral:rRNA from 1 species